CAUAACUAUUGAAGAAGACUUUGAUAUUGGGCCUAUAGAAUGUGACCGAGGCCCAUAGACGGCCCCGACGGUGACACGAACCCUCCGUCAAACGACGAACCGCCGUUGCCUCUUCCUCGAAGCUCCAUUUCUGAUAGCAACCUCCGCACACUCCGGCUACUUCUCUGGCGAAUCCGAUCGCAUCCUCCGACGAGAAUCUUUGCAUCUUCCUGCGACAUUCUCCGACGCCGUUAACUUCUCUCAGGGCAUUAUGUCAAACACUUCUGCUCAACAGAUCUGUCAGGUCUAUGUAGAAUGCGUUUCUCUUCCAAGUAUGCCUCGUGUUAACUGGCAUUGCAAAUACUGCGAGAAAAAGUCCAUGAGCGAAACUGCUGAAGAUUACAAUGUUAAAUUGUUCUGCAUUUGGGCAACUAGAAGGAGUUGAUCCUGUUGAAUGAUCACUUAGCUGGACGAUGCAUUCAUGUUGUCAAGAACAUGGAAGCUAAAACAUAUGUGUGUGUAUUAUGCAGGAAUGACCUAAAGGAAAUCUGUUUGGAUAUACCAUUAGAUUUGCUUUCAGAUUCUUCUUUGGGAAUAAUACAGAUGAAGCAAGAGAUAACUGGUGUAGAUUCCACCAGUGAUCUUGACAUCAUAUGAAGCAAGAGAGAACUGAUGUAGAUUCCACCAGUGAUCUUGACAUCAGAUCAGCGGCAAAGUUACUUCUCCUGAAACCCAAAUGUUACUGUCUCAGGCAUUGGCUAGUUUUCAUGAUUACUUUGGUCCUAUCUAUAGUUGAUCCAAUUUAUUGGCACAAUCUUAUUCCGAGAAUGGUGCACUGGAAGACUAUGCAGGGACGACUAUGGGGGAAUCUGCUGUGCUGCUAUGACUGUUAAUGCAUCUGUUGUUUCUGCUGGACUUCCAUUAGUUGCAACUCACAUGCGCAGCCGAGAGAAGGCUUCCAGCAGCUGAAGAGGCAGAGCCCUUAUGGAUGGGUUCAGAAAACUCGCAUGUGACUCGUUUGUAAAUUGUGUAGUUUCUGAAAUUUGUCUCAUGAAGAUAUUAAGAUAUGCUACCAUAUGGUGAGGUUCAAAGGAGCAUAUCCAUGCUGCGGAAACCAGUCAAUUGGCACCGAAUCACUGACAAUAAAAUAGAAACCGGUGUGUAUCUUAGAAGAAAAUUUUGAUUUGAAAUUUGUAAGCAAGUCAUGGAUUUGGUGAAAGAUGGAUUAAAGAGUGAAGUGUUUAGGUUUUAAAUGAGUUCUUACAACAUAUACUUGUGUAUAUUAUUUGUAGAUGUGAAGUUCUUUUAUAUUACAUUGUAGGUUCACAA